AACGAACGCUGGCGGCAUGCCUAACACAUGCAAGUCGAACGAGACCUUCGGGUCUAGUGGCGCACGGGUGCGUAACGCGUGGGAAUCUACCCUUGGGUUCGGAAUAACAGUUAGAAAUGACUGCUAAUACCGGAUGAUGACGUAAGUCCAAAGAUUUAUCGCCCAAGGAAUGAGCCCGCGUAAGCUUAGCUUGUUGGUGGGGUAAUGGCCUACCAAGCCGACGAGCUUUAGCUGGUCUGAGCGGAUGAUCAGCCACACUGGGACUGAGACACGGCCCAGACUCCUACGGGAGGAAGCAGUGGGGAAUAUUGGACAAUGGGCGAGAGCCUGAUCCAGCAAUGCCGCGUGAGUGAUGAAGGCCUUAGGGUUGUAAAGCUCUUUUACCAGGGAUGAUAAUGACAGUACCUGGAGAAUAAGCUCCGGCUAACUCCGUGCCAGCAGCCGCAGUAA
rnacentral:rRNA from 1 species